UACGUAGGGUGCAAGCGUUAAUCGGAAUUACUGGGCGUAAAGCGUGCGCAGGCGGUUUUGUAAGACUGUCGUGAAAUCCCCGGGCUCAACCUGGGAAUGGCGAUGGUGACUGCAAGGCUAGAGUUUGGCAGAGGGGGGUAGAAUUCCACGUGUAGCAGUGAAAUGCGUAGAUAUGUGGAGGAACACCGAUGGCGAAGGCGGCCAUCUGGGACAACACUGACGCUGAGGCACGAAAGCGUGGGGAGCAAACAGG
rnacentral:rRNA from 1 species